UAGGGAAUAUUGGUUAAUCUGCGAAAGCGGGAACCAGCAACGCCGCGUGUGCGAUGAAGGCCUUCGGGUCGUAAAGCACUUUUUAGAGGGAUGAGGAAGGACAGUACCUCUAGAAUAAGCCUCGGCUAACUACGUGCCAGCAGCCGCGGUAAAACGUAGGAGGCGAGCGUUAUCCGGAUUUACUGGGCGUAAAGCGCGUGCAGGCGGUUUGGAAAGUUGGAUGUGAAAGCUCCCGGCUUAACUGGGAGAGGUCGUUCAAAACUACCAGACUAGAGAGUGGUAGAGGAAGGCGGAAUUCCGGGUGUAGUGGUGAAAUGCGUAGAUAUCCGGAGGAACACCAGUGGCGAAAGCGGCCUUCUGGACCACUUCUGACGCUCAGACGCGAAAGUGUGGGGAUCAAACA
rnacentral:rRNA from 1 species